GAUGAACGCUGGCGGCGUGCCUAAUACAUGCAAGUCGAGCGAACAGACGAGGAGCUUGCUCCUUUGACGUUAGCGGCGGACGGGUGAGUAACACGUAGGUAACCUACCUAUAAGACUGGGAUAACUUCGGGAAACCGGAGCUAAUACCGGAUAAUAUUUCGAACCGCAUGGUUCGAUAGUGAAAGAUGGCUUUGCUAUCACUUAUAGAUGGACCUGCGCCGUAUUAGCUAGUUGGUAAGGUAACGGCUUACCAAGGCAACGAUACGUAGCCGACCUGAGAGGGUGAUCGGCCACACUGGAACUGAGACACGGUCCAGACUCCUACGGGAGGCAGCAGUAGGGAAUCUUCCGCAAUGGGCGAAAGCCUGACGGAGCAACGCCGCGUGGGUGAUGAAGGUCUUCGGAUCGUAAAACUCUGUUAUUAGGGAAGAACAAACGUGUAAGUAACUGUGCACGUCUUGACGGUACCUAAUCAGAAAGCCACGGCUAACUACGUG
rnacentral:rRNA from 1 species